AGAACUCUAGUGAACGUUUUUUUUGGUCAACGUUUAUCCUCAGCAAGAAUAGCUGUCGAGUGCGCAUUUGGGCGAUUAAAAGCUCGGUUUGGCUGUUUAAGGAGAGAAAUGGACAUAAAUCUUAAGGACUUUCUGUUGUAAUUCAUUCCUGUUUUUUUCUACUACAUAACUUUUGUGAAAUUAGACAAGAGGUAGUUAAUCCAAAUGAUGUGCUAGUUGCUCAAAACUACGAUGCUGAAUUUUAGCCUUUAUCAAAUCAAUGAUAACAAUGACGGGUGGUUAAAAAAUCAGAAUUAUCUUUGUUAAAUAUUUUGAAAAAGUAACAACAUAAAAUACAACUUGUAAGGUAAAAUGUUAUAAUGUCACUGAAAGUUGAAAUAAGUGCAUUCGUUGUCUUCAUUCUCUUGAUUUUUGCUUUUCUCUGGGAAGGGUCACCAUAUACUGCGGAACUGACUGAUGAUGGCAGCUGGGGGGGUUAAAAGAGGGUCGAUAUUGUUGGGGGACUCUCCCACUGAUUUAUUUUUCUUCAGGUACUCAAACAUGUAUUUUGUGACAAGAGUAUCAAAGUUUUCCGCACAGCCUUUUGAUACAAGCAACCCAAGGUUUGUUUUAAAACAGAAGUCAAUAAAGAAUUAUCUGCUGACUCAGCAAUUUAAAAAAUUAAACAAAGUUUAAACGGCUAAUAAAAGGUUACUGAUACCUUCACAUGAAGAAGUUAUUAUUACGUGUGGAUUUUGCAAGCAAUUUAUUUUAAGGUAUUCAUUAAAGUCCCAUACUAAAAGAGGAAGAACGAGUCAUAACAUUGCUGAAAUCAUUGAAGAAUCAAAAUAAAAUUUCCCGAAGUUUGUACAAUAAGCUGAAGCCUAUUGGCAGUCAACCACCAGUUCCAGUACGACCCAGUCCUAUCAAUGCCAGGCUCUGCCUAUUUUAAUAUUGCAAACCAAGUAGCUGAAUGGCUUUCUGUAGUAGAUGAAUGCAAAACAAACUAUUCUACGAAAAGCAUUGCGGAUAGUUUGAAGACCAUAAAGAGGGUGAACAGCUUAUUAGUUUUGACGUAACAUCUCUGUAUACAAAUGUACCUGUAUAUGAAGCCAUCGAAGAGUGCACAGUUAUUAUACUCUAGUUGAUAAAAUAACUUUCACAAAAUUGCUCAAGAUUUGUAGCUGUAACGUUAUUAUGUUAACAAACGAUGGUUACUACCGGCAAGUUGAUGGUUUAGCGAUGGGAGCCCCUCCUCUCCCAAACGGUUGGAUGCACAAAUUUGAUAAGAUCGUAAAAGGUGAUGCUAGUCUAUUUGCAAGAUAUAUGGAUGAUUAUUUGAGAAAUAUAAAGAUGAACCAGAUUGAAAACGUGUUACAGAAUAUCAACAAUCUUCAUCCAUCAUUAAAAUUUACGGUUGGAAAUGAAAGAAACGGUGAAUUGCCGUUCUUAGAUAUGUUAAUUACCGUAAACAAAAUGGAUUGCUAGAGUCAACUUGGUAUAGCAAAAAGACGGACACAGGUUUAUUAAUGAACUUCCAUGCCUUGUCCCCUGAUAAAUAUAAACGUUCAGUGGUGUCAGAAAUGGUACAUCGGAUAAUUAGAGCUUGUAGUACAUGGUCAUAUAUACACGAAAGUUUAGAGAAAGCUAAAAAGAUAUUACAUGGUUAAGAAAGUUGAAAACUGUUCUUCCUUCCCUGAAACAACCAGUUGAUAAGGCCUUUAAAAGUGGUGUGGUCUAUGAAAUUUGUUGCGAUGUAAUUCGCGCUAUGUCAGUGGCAUCUUAUCACCCGCAUAAAGGAGCAUUCAAGAGUUUCCAGUCCAUUGGGCUUACAUUUUAAUAGCUGCGAAUGUAUACUAUCAAUGGAAAAGUUAAAAUUUUAUCGACCUUGAAGUCUCAACGGCACUUAUUGAUUUUGGAAGCUCUUUUUAUAAAUGACACACUCUUUUGAUAAAAUUUUAAUAUCAUUUCAAUAUUUUUUAGUAUAGUGAACGUAUGUUGUAGAUACUUUUGUUUUAAUCUGUAUUAACUAUUAUUUUAGAUUUUACCUGAUGACAACUAUAAAAGUCGAAAUAUAUCGUUAUUGAUAAAAAUUGUUGGUCACUUUACCAAGAAAUAUUCAUUAAAGCUCUCACACAUUUUUCUAUCAAGAGAGCUUCUAACAAUUUUAGCAGAUCUUUUUCUCUGGAAUAGCUCUCAAGACUAUCAGUCUCCGCAGAAAAAUUAGCUUUAUUAUAUCAUUCCUCAUCAUUAGUUCCGCGCCAUCUCCAACUACUGCUUGUUUCAAAAAAAUCAAUCGUUCUUUAGCUGAUUUUCUGGUUAUGCUCUUAUUAUUGCCUACAUAAUGUUUCAACUUGGGAAAUUCUCGAGAUUGCAACAUAAGAUUACGCAACUGGUACCUACAAUACGAUGGCUAUAGAAAUAGAUAGUUUUAGUAAAGAACUAAAUUGUAAAAAACUUUAAAUAUGCUCGCCGGUAAAGGAAAUGUUUAAAACUCUCUUUUCUUGUUCCCUUUCCUUGUUUUGUAAUUUAACACAAUAGAAUGCUAUUUUUACAGUAUUGAUUGAUGACUGUCAAUAGUCAACGCACGCAGUGUUGAUGUAGUAGUCUGAUGUUGUUGGCGUUAUCUAAUGAAACGAUAUUUAUCUGUUACGUUGCAGCCAAGAACACAGAAAACGGAAGAAAUGUUUCCCUUAUUUACAAAACAUCGGUGAGAAAAAAGCAAUAAUGCAGGGAAAACUUUGUAUAAUUAAUAUAAUAAUGCUGUUUAAACUUGCUGUAAAACAAAUGCGUUUAUAACAGAAUAAACAUUUUUAUGAAGAAGAGAGGAGAGCACCUACACACCUACUUUACGGCGAAGCAAAAUAUGAGUGUUUGGUUUAGUCAGAAAUUUUGCCUUAACAUGUCUUGUUUUUGACGACUGGUCAACCGCACGAUAGUAGAAAUAACAUGUAAGGUAGCUUUUCAAUUAAGCAGAUGUGACUACGAAGAGGCAGAUAAUCAAGGCACACAUAAAUAAAAAGGCGGUGUGUGUUGGUGAUGGGAAAAAACAUUAUAAAUCAUUUAUUUAUCGUAAGCUAUGCAAAAAAAACCUGCAAUGUAUUGUUACCCUACCAAGCGGCAUUUCCGAUGUUCGCAAGAAAAUCGCAAAUGGAGUUUCGGCUCUGCGAGGGAGGGUGUAUGGGGAGCAUGCGUAGUAGGAUAAGGGCGGGGUAUAAAAGAAGACUGAAGAAUACAGUCAUUCUGGAUUUGACUCAGAUGUACAUCAGUACGGUAAAUUUAACAUAUAUUUGAGUCAUGACUUCCGAACAAGGUCCAUCGAAUUCUUCUGCGUUGAACGCAUCCAUCAGGCAAUCCGAACCAAGAAUGGUCGAGUUGGCAGCAGCUGCAGCAGCAAAAGUGAUGCAACAAGUCGCAGCAAAACAGGAUGAAAGGCUGGAUUGGUUGACAUCAAACCUAGAAAGUAAAAGAAAAGAAGAAAACAAAAUUUAACAAGAAAGGAAAUGAAAAGAUGCACGGUUACAACCUGGAGGUUUUGGAGAAUAUGGAAAAGAUACAGAGACGGUUAGACGAUGGGAAAAUAAACAAAGCGAAGGAAACACUGGAGACGGGUCGUAAUUGGGAAUACGAGAGCCAAGAUGUUGUAGUUGCCGGAAAAUGUAGUCGAGAACGGUUAUCAGCUACCUUUUAAAUCAACUACACCUCCAUUAUACGCCAAAAACAAUGCAUCUAACCUAAGGAACAGAGAAUUUGUAGAAGUCUCUAUUUCGGAUUUGAUAAAAAAUAAUUGUAUCAAGAAGUGGCCGAAGCCCUAUACUGUGUUAAUCCUGUAACUGUGGCAGACGGAGAAAAACCUAGAUUGUUUUUAGAUUUAAGACAUGUCAACGAACAUUUAGAAUUAAAAAAGGUUCGAUUCAAAAAUUUAAAAACACUGGAAAUUUAUUUGAAAAAGACUUUUACUUCGGAACAUUCGAUUUGAAAAGCGGAUACCAUCAUGUCAAAAUAGCCGCAGAAUUUAGAAAAUAUUUAGGCUUUGCUUGGAAUUUUGAAGACGGAGUGACAAAAUAUUUCCAAUUCUUAGUUCUUCAAUUCAGAUUAGCAAGUGCUUGUUACGUUUAUACAAAACUUACAAGGCCCUCUGUUAAGAAAUGGCGAGGAGAAGGAAUAAAAUGCGUUGUGUAUUUGGACGAUGGUAUCCAGGCGACCAAGGUUAUGAGCGUGUCUCAAAAAUUCUGGAAAAAGUCCAACAAGAUCUACUUGCUGUGGGAUUUACUCUAAAUUUACAAAAAUCGAAACUCUAUCCAUAAAAACAAGCAAAAUCGUUAGGUUUUGUAGUCGACACAAACAAAAUGGAGCACAGAGUCCCGCAAGAAAAAAUAGUGAAAACAUUGCGUUUAAUUAAUUUUGCGUUAUCAAAACAAUAUUCUAAUGCUCAUGAAAUCUCAAAAAUUGCAGGGCAU